rnacentral:rRNA from 1 species
AUGAACGCUGGCGGCGUGCUUAACACAUGCACGUCGAACGGAAAGGCUCCUGCUUGCAGGGGUACUCGAGUGGCGAACGGGUGAGUAACACGUGGGUGAUCUGCCCUGCACUUCGGGAUAAGCCUGGGAAACUGGGUCUAAUACCGGAUAGGACGAUGGUUUGGAUGCCAUUGUGUAAAGUUUUUGCGGUGUGGGAUGAGCUCGCGGCCUAUCAGCUUGUUGGGGGGGUAAUGGCCUACCAAGGCGUCGACGGGUAGCCGGCCUGAGAGGGUGUACGGCCACAUUGGGACUGAGGUACGGCCCAGAGUGGUACGGGAGGCAGCAGUGGGGAAUAUUGCACAAUGGGGGCAAGUCUGAUGCAGCGACGCCGCGUGGGGGAUGACGGCCUUCGUGUUGUAAACUCCUUUCGCUAGGGACGAAGCGCAAGUGACGGUACCUGGAGAAGAAGCACCGGCUAACUACGUG